AGGAGCUUGCUCCUCUGACGUUAGCGGCGGACGGGUGAGUAACACGUGGAUAACCUACCUAUAAGACUGGGAUAACUUCGGGAAACCGGAGCUAAUACCGGAUAAUAUAUUGAACCGCAUGGUUCAAUAGUGAAAGACGGUUUUGCUGUCACUUAUAGAUGGAUCCGCGCCGCAUUAGCUAGUUGGUAAGGUAACGGCUUACCAAGGCAACGAUGCGUAGCCGACCUGAGAGGGUGAUCGGCCACACUGGAACUGAGACACGGUCCAGACUCCUACGGGAGGCAGCAGUAGGGAAUCUUCCGCAAUGGGCGAAAGCCUGACGGAGCAACGCCGCGUGAGUGAUGAAGGUCUUCGGAUCGUAAAACUCUGUUAUUAGGGAAGAACAAAUGUGUAAGUAACUAUGCACGUCUUGACGGUACCUAAUCAGAAAGCCACGGCUAACUACGUGCCAGCAGCCGCGGUAAUACGUAGGUGGCAAGCGUUAUCCGGAAUUAUUGGGCGUAAAGCGCGCGUAGGCGGUUUUUUAAGUCUGAUGUGAAAGCCCACGGCUCAACCGUGGAGGGUCAUUGGAAACUGGAAAACUUGAGUGCAGAAGAGGAAAGUGGAACUCCAUGUGUA
rnacentral:rRNA from 1 species